rnacentral:miRNA from 1 species
GCCCUACUACUCUCCACCC